AACGAAUGACCUAUUUUGAAGUAUCAUUUUGGAUAUAUCCUAAUUGAAAAAGGUUUUGAGAUAGAAUAUCCGAAUAUCCAGAAAAAGAAAAUAAUCUUUUUACGAAAUUCUCUGCUCUGUUUGACGCAGCUUUGGAGCUGAAGAAAAAGACUUGUGUCAACACGGACAAUGAGUUUUUAGUUGACCUGUUACAAGGCGAAUUAUCACAAGAUUCACGAACCCUUAUUCAGACUUAUCUAUUAUGUUCGUUCAU
rnacentral:lncRNA from 1 species